UACGGGGGGGGCAAGCGUUGUUCGGAAUUACUGGGCGUAAAGGGCUCGUAGGCGGCCAACUAAGUCGGAUGUGAAAUCCCCAGGCUUAACCUGGGAACUGCAUCCGAUACUGGAUGGCUUGAAUCCGGGAGAGGGAUGCGGAAUUCCAGGUGUAGCGGUGAAAUGCGUAGAUAUCUGGAGGAACACCGGUGGCGAAGGCGGCAUCCUGGACCGGCAUUGACGCUGAACGGCGAAAGCUAGGGGAGCAAACGGG
rnacentral:rRNA from 1 species